GACGAACGCUGGCGGCGUGCUUAACACAUGCAAGUCGAACGGAAAGGCCUCUUUCGGGGGGUACUCGAGUGGCGAACGGGUGAGUAACACGUGAGUAACCUGCCCUUGACUUUGGGAUAACUUCAGGAAACUGGGGCUAAUACCGGAUAGGAGCUCCUGCUGCAUGGUGGGGGUUGGAAAGUUUCGGCGGUUGGGGAUGGACUCGCGGCUUAUCAGCUUGUUGGUGGGGUAGUGGCUUACCAAGGCUUUGACGGGUAGCCGGCCUGAGAGGGUGAUCGGCCACAUUGGGACUGAGAUACGGCCCAGACUCCUACGGGAGGCAGCAGUGGGGAAUAUUGCACAAUGGGCGGAAGCCUGAUGCAGCAACGCCGCGUGCGGGAUGACGGCCUUCGGGUUGUAAACCGCUUUCGCCUGUGACGAAGCGUGAGUGACGGUAAUGGGUAAAGAAGCACCGGCUAACUACGUG
rnacentral:rRNA from 1 species